rnacentral:rRNA from 1 species
CGACGCUGGCGGCAGGCUUACACAUGCAAGUCGAACGCCCCGCAAGGGGAGUGGCAGACGGGUGAGUAACGCGUGGGAACAUACCCUUUCCUGCGGAAUAGCUCUGGGAAACUGGAAUUAAUACCGCAUACGCCCUACGGGGGAAAGAUUUAUCGGGGAAGGAUUGGCCCGCGUUGGAUUAGCUAGUUGGUGGGGUAAAGGCCUACCAAGGCGACGAUCCAUAGCUGGUCUGAGAGGAUGAUCAGCCACAUUGGGACUGAGACACGGCCCAAACUCCUACGGGAGGCAGCAGUGGGGAAUAUUGGACAAUGGGCGCAAGCCUGAUCCAGCCAUGCCGCGUGAGUGAUGAAGGCCUUAGGGUUGUAAAGCUCUUUCACCGAUGAAGAUAAUGACGGUAGUCGGAGAAGAAGCCCCGGCUAACUUCGUGCCAGCAGCCGCGGUAAUACGAAGGGGGCUAGCGUUGUUCGGAAUUACUGGGCGUAAAGCGCACGUAGGCGGAUAUUUAAGUCAGGGGUGAAAUCCCGCAGCUCAACUGCGGAACUGCCUUUGAUACUGGGUAUCUUGAGUAUGGAAGAGGUAAGUGGAAUUCCGAGUGUAGAGGUGAAAUUCGUAGAUAUUCGGAGGAACACCAGUGGCGAAGCGCUUACUGGUCCAUUACUGACGCUGAGGUGCGAAAGCGUGGGGAGCAACAGGAUAGAUACCCUGGUAGUCCACGCCGUAACGAUGAUGUUAGCCGUCGGGCAGUAUACUGUUCGGUGGCGCAGCU